UUUUUUUUAUCUCCUAGCUAGUGCCCGUUCAAACAAAGCUGAUAAAGUAUAAGUUGACUGUAUUUAUAAAAAAAAGAUAUCAGAGGUUUAUUCUAACGCAUAAGUCGGAAAUAAACUAAGAACAUCAUAGGAAAAUAAGAAAAAGAAAAAGACGAAGAGACAAACAACAGUUCACACCACAACAUAGAAAAACGAAAGAUUGAGCA
rnacentral:lncRNA from 1 species